AUUUAUGCCAUCUGCUGUGUUUUGAAUUGUAUCCCCCCAAAAGAUGCAGCUCCAGGGUGCUGGGGUUUCAUAAUCACUCUGGGUUCCUGAUGGACUGAAGCCCCUGCUGGCACGUGAUGGACAGGUACCAGGAAACUCACGGUUUAUCUCUAGUGCUCAUCCACUGGCCGUUUCAUACAGAUUGGAGGAAGUGAUAAACUCAGAUAGCAGAGUCGGGUACAACAAGGAGGACACCAUUUGGUGCCCAUGUGGUUGCUGUGCUUGUUAUGGCUUCUAAAUGGAAAAUGCUUUAUUUCUAGGAACUACAAAAGCUAGUGAAAUGCAGGGUAAAGGGAGUGCUGCUGUAAUCUGGUGUAGCAGAAGGAAUGACCACCUAGUUUCGCUCUCCAACUACAAACACAGUGGGGAUCUUGUGAUGUAAGGUAAGACAUGAUGAGCACCAAACUAUAACUCACUGGACUCUGGGUUCCUCAUUUGAUCUAAAAAUUAU